ensembl:lncRNA
GAUGUGGCACUGAGGGAUGUGGUUAGUGGGCAUGGUGGGGAUGGGUUGAUGGUUGAACUAGAUGAUCUUAGAUGUCUUUUCCAACCUUAAUGAUUAAAGCGUUCCAUGAAUCUAUGUUGUCACUGAUCUUUUUCCCAACUAUCCAUUCCUACUAUGGCGCAUGCCAAAGGAAAACUAAUCCCACGUGAGGAUUGUCAGGCAAUUUAGGAAAGCUGAUUUUUCUCCUGCUUCACUGUCGUUGUUUAGACUCCUCUCAUGCUGGCAUUUUGCAAUAUGGCUGCCCAGACCUGAAAAUGUAAAUUUAAAGGAGGAGUUGGGCUUGAAUUUGGUCACUUUCGACCAGAGUGCAAUCUUUGAUGUCUUCAUAGGGAUAUAUUUUAGAUGACAUUGAUUUGACCAGGAGUGAGAAACGAAGUAAAUACAGUGAGCCAAGACAGCCUCUAUCUGUUAAUCUUUAUCAUUCAAGAAAUCCCAGUCACAAGCAGCAUACAGUAAUUAUACCUUCCAAUUCUGAAGUUGAUUUUUUACAGCAAUUUUGAGUUUUCACCGUUUAAGUUUGUAACGUUAAGAGUAUUUUGCUCUUUCAAGUGCUGUUCUGCCUAUGAUCUCUCAGCAACUUAUAGUGAUUAAUGGAAGCUCCAGUAUACUCUCAUAUGAUAGAAGAGACACAGUAUUACUGCAGUUUCUUCUUCAAGAAAUGAAAAUUGCACUCUCUAAACUGCUAUAAUAAGGUAACUGCUGAUGAACGUUGACUUUAAUGGCUACUGGGAUCUCUCACUUCACUGCUAAAAUUCAGCCACUUGCAGUAUGUGAGUGCAACUGGCACCCAGCCACCCACAGCCACAGAGAUCAGCUGUUCCUGCAUCAAAAUAAAAGAGAAAUGGUAGCAGAAUAUUGUUGAAAUUCCCUAACCAGCAAUUUCCUUAACUUGAAAAUAAAUUCUGUGUGAAAUAAAAAAAAGUAAAAAAUAAUUUUAAAAGGACUGACCUCCUUCAGAUGGGAAUGGUUCGAAGUAAAAUGUUCUGAUCAAGCUGAAAUUAAUUAUUUGACAAGAUUAUUUAUCAAGAAAUAUAGCAGUUGGGUUUAACUGUUGUUGAUCCUUUUCAGAAAAUAUUUCCAGACUUGAAUCAUUUUCAGUGUAAUGGAAAUGUUGCUUAUAACAGUAACAGCUCCAAAACAGUGUGCAAAUGAGUGGGGAGAGAUAUUCCAUGUCCCAAAGAACUUGGAAUUCAAAGAGAGGAGUCAGGCAAAUGGGAAAGAGCCAGUAGAAGAUGGCCUGAUUUUUCUCAAAGUUAGCAGGAGCCCAGUGGCUAAUCUACUCUUCCCAAAUUCCACUCCAACAUCUCUUUCACUGAAUCCUAACCAUCUCAUAGUAUUUCCAUACUUUUUCUCAGGAAGGGCUCUCAGUAGGUUGAGCUGUGCUCCCUCCCAGACUACCUUACACUGCCAGACAUGAAGGCAGGGCUUCAUCUGAUGUUUCAUUCUUUUUUAUGAUUAUAAUUAACUCAGGCUUAGAUUGAAAACAAGUAAGCAAAUGAUUUGUAUUUUGUGUAUUUGGUGUUCGUUAUCUCACCCAAAAGGUAGCUCAGGUGAACUUUCUGAUGCAUGCAACCUGUUUUGUUUAAAGGUAUGAAAGCCAUUAUGCAAAUCUGAAGCCGGAAGACUCAUUUCUCCCUCAGUCCACAGAUACAGCCAGCUCCACUGAGUCCUCAACACCGUGGGAUGCCUUGUUAUCAUGCUGUUCGUGCCCCAAACCAGCCAUAUGACCAUUAUAAUGAGGUAAAGAUUAAAGGCAUCCUUUGCUAGGCAGCUUUCAGCCAGCAUGGCAGAGCUCACGUUGCCUGAAGACAAUAGAGCAAAAUCACCUUCAGUGACCCAGGCAAUAUCCAUCUACCCCAUGGAUUCGCGUGAGCCAUGGCCCAGGGAAAAAACCUCUUAUCUGUGAACAGUGCACACAGUUGGAUCAGUUUUAAAUAUGCUAAGAUCCCUCUUAACAUAACUGAACACAGCUUGAGCCCUUUGGUCAGGAUUUCUAGGAUCUCCAAACAUCCAACUCAGGGCCUGAAAGGAGGCAGUCCUUACCCACCUGCCAGCCUUGAGCCUCUGUGUGCUGCAGAGGGUAAUCAUACAUACACAUACUGAAAAUAAACCAGAAUGUGCCUGUCCCUCCAGUUCUGCCAUUCUACCCAUGCCUGCAGAGAUACUGGGUGGCCUUCAGCACCCAUCUGCCCAUCCUUCACCAUGAAGGGUAUAAGAAUGGGGCUCAGUCACAGAAGACAUUAAGUGUGUCUUAUUAUGUGACAGUGUUGUGAAAACAGAGUCUGAAUUUGGCAACCCAGGCUUAGCCAGGGCUGACGAAAUGUCUGAAGAGAGUGAGGGACAGAUGGUGGGGACUGAGUUAAUGAAUGGGCCCACAAGAAGACUGCUUGGUGGGAAUUGAUUCUGUUCUCAUCUCCAGACCCUCAGAGCACUCCUAAUUUGUCUUGAAUCUAAAUAAUCUUGUCCCAUGCCCAUUCAAAUUCAACCCAGUGCUUCUGCGACCCCAUGCACUCCAGCAUCUAUCUUCCACCAUGCUACUCAGUGAUGCUGUAGAAACUGCACCAUUACUCAUCACAUCACUAGUGAGCUGUCAUUUGAACUUGUCAUUGAACAAGGGACACGUUCCCAAAGCUCCCGUGUCUUCAGGAAGGCUCAGGCUCUGGAAAAGAGCAACUCCCUGUAAGGAUGGGUUGUUUACGCUGAAUACAUUUAUUUGGAGCAAGCAGACACACCAGACACUGUUGACCCAAGGCUGUUUGAAACAAAUGGUGUAUAUAGGAGCUGCAUGGGACCUGCAUGGUGUUUGUGGUUCCACAGCUCAUUCCUCCCCACUUGUUUUGGAAAAGUGCUGUUACACUUCCUGGUUACAAGAAGCCAGGUUACAAUGGCCAGAUAUGGGCUAAUCUUGGGUCAAAGGAAAGUGAAUACUGUGGGAAGAACUUCACCAUCCUUGGCCAUUGCAACUGCAAACAAGAAACAGCUAUCAAAAAAAAAAAAAAAAAUGACCUGUGACAUUUGGGAUAGCACAUUUCCUGACAGAUGAAAAAUGUCACCACCAACAUUUUGUACAUCCGUGACAGAUGAGCUGGCAACUGCUCUAGGUCACAGACAACCUUUGCUGAACUUGUGCUGUCCCCAUGAAAAUGACACCCCCGGCCCCAAAUGUCUGCCUGCACUUCUCCACCCACUGUUCCCUCUGUCAGCCCGUGAGCUUAAGGGGGACAAGUUGUUCCCAAAAUGUGCAGUAACAGGUAAACCAGUGGCACUAUUCAGAUUUGAGUUGAAUUCAACAACCAGGUUGGAAU